CAUCGUAAAAUUAGUCAGUUGGUGUGUUUUAUAAAUGAGCGGAGCAGGCACGUAGUCAAAUGUUAUUUUCUCAUCCUAGUAGACAAGACUGUUGGAUCAUUUUAAUUAAUUGCGACUUGUUAGAGAUCUUAAUUUAUUAUUAGUUUUAUUUAUUUACCUAAACACUAUAGAUAUGUGCUUGAAAUUAUUUAAUGGGACUUUAGCGGUCAUCAAGCCAGCAGACGGCGGAAAAGUAAUCUUCGUCGUUCUCCAGGAAAAUUGUCACCAAGACCUCAAGUAUGGUGGUCUUAAACUUUUCAUCAAAAUCUCGUCAAGCUGUUAGGUGAGGAACAUGAAAACAAACCUGCUUUGCUGAAGUCUAAGUAUUGUGGUCCCUUGCUACAUUAGAAAGAGCGCCACAAAAGGUAAUGUCUUUGAUUAAAACAACGUUCCAGUUCUGUAAGGGAUAUUUGGCUUGUUGGCAGUGGAAUAUUUCGGCUGUACAAAAAAUAAUUUCUGUAGUCUUAAUUUUAAAAAUCUGUACAGAGGAUCCUACCUUAAACACUUAUCUUUUUAUGUCUGGCCGACAUUGUCUGCUAUUGUUUAUCCCUAUGAAGGGUUCAAUAUUGGACCAUUUACUAAAAUAUCCUUGUCCAUCAUAGGAGGGAAUAAUCCUUCAUAGUAAAACAUUUGGCCUAACAUUUUGUUUAGAAUAGGGACUCUUUCUUAUCAAUUGAGCCAUAUUUGUCAAGAAAUUGAUAAGAGUCUGAAAAGCUUCCUAACUUCUAAACAAAAAAAUGUUUACUACAAAGUCAUAUUCCUUUCUAUGACAGAUCAACUGAGAAGAACUUACAAUACAGGAAGUAUCAAAAUACGCAUAACAAUGACAGUUAGGCUUAAAGUAGUAUUAUGCAGCAUUGGUCAAAGUGUGUUUGCGAUGUUCGGUAAACCAGUAAUGUCCUGCCGGAGGCGCCCACUGGUUUGGAAAUGUAGCCUAAUACACCGUUACUAAGACAACAGCUCCUGUGGAGCCUUCUUGGAUCUGUUUAGGAGAUAGAAUAUAGUCUCCAGUAAAGACAGAUUAGAUUUCUCCGUAGAAACAGAAUGUAUAUUGUAUGGAUUGUAUAGAGAGGUUAUGUUAUAAGGAAAAUACACCAUGGUUUGCUUCAAGCUUCGUUACGAAGAGCAAGUAUAUCCAAGGUCAAGGUCAGGUUUUUUUUGUUUUUUGUCAUUAAUUGUGUUUUAUAUUUACAAAAUGUACUUUUUUUACCGGUGCUUGAAAGAAAAAGAAAGAUAUUUUUAUAUCUACUUAUAAGAUCUAUCUUUACCUCUUAAAAUCUGGAAUGUUCCAUCUUAUCUCUGUUAUGCUGAACAACCAGUAAGACCAGUAAACCACACAUAAAUACAUUCUACAUUUUGGGAGGAUGUGUUAAAUUUGUUUUCAAGUGUGUCAUGAGUGUACUUCAACAUGAAGUAACUGCUCAGUAACUGCUCAGUAACUGCUCACUACUACUUCAUGUCUCCAGACAACCGUGACAUUGUUAUCGGAAUCACAAAUCUAACCCACAGAGAAGAUAGGGACUGUCAUCACCUCUAAUCCAUCUAUCAAUAGUCUGUUGUUCUCUAUCUACAGAAACUCCAGCAAUGUUUUUUUUUGGAAAAGUACGUUGAGGACAACACCCUCCAGAUUCCAACGUUAUCAUCAUCACAAAGAUCUGCCUUUGUUCUCAUCCUGUGUUAUUUUGCAGACGGUAUCAUAAAAAGUCUCGGUUGAAAGGCUAAGACCACAAUUCAAAGAGGAUGCCAAUCUCAUCUGAAUGACAAAUUUUCUACAGAUACCAGACGCUUUUGAGUACCUCCGUGCAUUCUUUAAAGGUAAACUGAAAAGGAUCCUCUUCCUAUUUACAGACAACGCAAACACAAUACAACUCUGCCUCGUGAUUGGCUAAUUACAUGGUCAUUAAGUGAGUCAGGGAGGAAGGAUGACACUGUGAAAAGUCAAUAAUAAGCUUGGAUGUACUUGUAUUAAGUUUGUUCUCUUGUCUGUGAACGGACAGCCGGGUCGACGGCCGUGUCACUUUGACAGUUUGCUUUUAAAAUUCCACCGGACAAUUUUCCAAACUUAAAUUAGAAAAAUUUCCAAAACUGGAGAAGACAAAGAAUGAGCUCCACUUGGCAAGUUUUCACUGACUUGAAAUUUCUCACGUUUUUGUUUUUGUUUAGAAAUAUGUUAAAUAGGAAGAUCGAGAUAGAAAAUGUACUCUGCUGUUGCAUAGGUGUUGCAAACUAAACAUAAUAAUAACUUAAACAAGAUUGAACUGUACUUAACUUGUUAGUUAGCUAGAAAUGUACACACCAAAUAGAGAUAUCUAGAUAGUAGAUGCAUUAAUCACUGCAUGGUAUUUACAUUUUUACAUUUAAUUAGUUUCCUAGAUUUAUGCUCACCAGAUUGAGGUAGAUAGAUAGGAGCUACAUAAUUGUAUUAUGUACAUUACUCAUGUACUUAUGUAUGACAUUGUAAUGGCCUACUCCUGUCUUCUAUCUAAUUUCCUGUUCUUACCUUCUCUACAGACCACCAUUCUGUAAUUGAAGAGGAUUUUGUGAUGGUUAUCUUGUCAACAGUACCACAUAAAUCUUAUCUUCCUCAAGUUACAAUUAACAAACCGCAAUCUAAAUUUCUCUUCAUGAGUGACAUGAGUUGCGUAUUACACAUUUCCCUUACCAGUCUUUCUACUCUGUAUUUUUCCAGCCUAAAGUCUGCAUCCAAGAAAGAUUUCAAGAAGUAAACAGUCGCCUACAUUUUGGUCAUCUUCAAGAGGAUCAGCAUUUUACUUUUUCACCUGACGUGUCCGUACUAUUCCUUGAAGCGCGCGCAACCUGGAGUUUUGAACACCCGACAUUGCACGUCCUUGGGUCAUCAUGACUAAUACACCUGCGGAAUUUUUACUUAAUAUAGUGCCCGGUUCUCGAGAUAUUCAAGCCACAGACACACACACACACACACACAGAUGUGUGUGCCUUUAUGGUUAAAAAAAUAUGCCCUUCUGUUCUUUGUUCUGCUUGCAUUCCGUUCUGCUCUGUGGGAUCAUUUGACACAAACUUUUGAAAACUAGCUCGCAUGGGUGAAUUUCCUUGGUUAUUUGCAACAAAUGAAUUAGGUAGUUCAGUAGAGAUUAUCUUGUUGUUUUUUUGUCUCAAAUAACCAAACAGAAGAACAGCAGAACUGUGUGUGAGUAGAACCAGUGCACGUCUAUUAAAUGACAGCUUUGUAAGUAGGUGCUGCCCUGAGUAAAUUAUCAAGUUAGAAAGAAAUAAAAUAAUAAUGAGGGCGCGCCCUUCAAGGCUUCCAUACUGUUCAAACCACUCAAAUGAUGACUUGUUGACAAAUGAUGACAGAUUUUUUCAAGCUCAGAGGACAUGACGAAACUAGAUCUUGUGAGUUUUUUUGAUUGUUUUCACUCAAGCAUAACUUGUUAGUUAGGAGUCAGGGAGUCAGAUGGCUGAGCGGUGAGGGAAUCGGGCUAGUAAUCCGAAGGUUGCCAGUUCGAUUCCCGGUCAUGCCAACUGACGUUGUGUCCUUGGGCAAGGCACUUCACCCUACUUGCCUCGGGGGGAAUGUCCCUGUACUUACUGUAAGUCGCUAUGGAUAAGAGUGUCUACUAAAUGUAAAUGUAGUUAGCUAGAUUUCUACUGACCAGAUAUCUACAUUGGUGCAUAAUAACUCAAUUACAAUUGCAAAUAGAAAGCAAACAAAUGCAUUGCUAUUUGUUUUAAUGUACAAUAUACCUAAUGUACCUAAUGUACAUGGACUCUAUAAUGAUAAUUGAUCAAAACCAAUUUACAGUCUAUUGUUUUACAUUUUGCCACUUUUUCUCAUGUCUACAGACCACAACCCACUCACUUCAAAAGAAUCCGCAUUCGACAAGACUACAGGAUACAUCAGACCAUGCUGAGUUACACAUUAGAUUUACUUAAACUAAUUCAGAAGCAUGUAAAUCACUAGUCUUUUAAUGUUUCCUUUCUACAGCCGUCAGACUGCAUCCAAGAACAAUUUAAGAAAGGAAAUGGUGUCAACAGAAACAGUUUCGUACAUUUUGCAACUCAACAAGAGGAUCUGCAUUCUACAUCCGUAUUAAUCCGCGACAAAUUUUAAAUGUGAUUCUCAGAAAACAUGAUGAAGUGGUUGAGAUUGCGAUGCCUCGACAGCUACAUCAUGUUACUGAAUAUCAUGUACAAAUCUACAGAGGGGUCAAGCACUGUGCUCUCUGCCUUCUCAACUCUGUAGAUGUAAAUUAGUGCUUUUUAAAAGGGAAACUCAACAGGAUAAAGUUGUUAUUGGCUCUUUACAAUGAGAGUGUUGCUAUAAGAGCAGGUUUCAAUUGUGAGGAGUCAAUAAUAAUAGGAGGACGUUUAGUUGGUUAAACUCACUCCUUUGUAUCAAUACCGCCCUCCUGCGUUGUUGAGUUGUUCGCGGUUCAGUGUUGUAGCUGGCUAAACGUUGUUUAUGAGAGGUGGUCGGUCGUGUACCCAUGUCAGAAAACACAAGAUCAGAUCCAGGAGGGGACAAGUGAGGAAGGAAGCAACAUUUUUGAGAAACACAAUUACACGUGUGAUGAUUGAUUACAAUUUCACUGGAAGUACAUUUACAUCUCAAAUGAAGCCAUUCUUUUCAACCUCAGAAGACUAACUCCACUGUUACAUGGAAUGAUGUAAAUUGAUAUUGGCAUGAGUAUAUCAUUUGUUUGACGAACUUCAUGAAACCUUUCUAGUUAGUUAGAUGUCCACUGUCGAGUAGAUAUAAUAAUAAUAAUACUGUAGAUAUAAUUGCAUGAUAUAUUACUAAUUUCACAGUAGAUUGUACCUCACAUAUGUAAGGCUUUAGGGUACCUGUUGAAACUCCUGACUUCUGUGUAAUCUCCUGUUCUUAUCUUUGCAGAUUACCCACUCUGUAUUUGAGGAACAUUUUGAGAUUUUCAUCUUGUCAACUGUUAGAAAUAUUAAUCUAUCAAGAAGCAUUGCACAGUCAGUCGGUGAACAACCUAAAGUCUGCAUCCAAGAACAAUUUCAAGAAGUAAACAAUGUCCACAGAAACAAUCGCCUACAUUUUGCUACUCUUCAAGAGGAUAGGCAUUUUACUUUUUCACCAGACCUUUUCUGGCCAAACUAUUCCGUAAACCGCGCAACAUGGACAUUUUCGAACGUGAUUCUCAGUACCGGGGCAAAGUGACUGAGACUGAUAUCUCAACAGAUUUCUCAUCUUACUGAAUGACUAGCAGUUUACUAACAGUUGAAAGUUAGCUUGCGUGGGUGAAUUUACUUGGUUAUUUUCAACAAAUUAAUUUAAGUCGUUCAGAAGAGAUCUCAUUUGGACGACUUACAGAUAUGUUUUUUUUUUUCAUUUUUCAAACUCAGAGGAGUCGCUGACAUGAACAUGAAGACAAGAAAAUAUAUCAAUGUGAGUUUUUCAUAUUUUUUUCUCUGAAACAUAACUUAUUAGUUAGAUCAUUUCUAUCAACCAGAUGUCUACAGUACACUGGUAGGCCUAGAAAGUAUAUUACAAUUGCAACAUACAUACUGUAAAUCUUGCUAUUUGUUUUACAGUACAAUACACCUCAUGUAUGUUGGUAUUGAUAAUAAUAUCAGAUUUUAUUUUAAUUCUGACACACUUCCUUCCAUCCCUCCAGAACACAUCAAAAGUAUCUACAUUCGACAAGACUAAAGGAUACAUCAGACCAUGCUAAGUUACACAUUAGAUUUACUUAUAUUUACUUAAACUAAUUCAGAAGCCUGUAAAUCACUAGUCUUUUAAUGUUUCCUUUCUACAGCCGUCAGACUGCAUCCAAGAACAAUUUAAAAAAGGAAAUAUUGUCAACAGAAACAGUUUCGUACAUUUUGCAACUCUACAAGAGGAUCUGCAUUCUACAUCCGUAUUAAUCCGCGACAAAUUUUAAAUGUGAUUCUCAGAAAACAUGAUGAAGUGGUUGAGAUUGCGAUGCCUCGACAGCUACAUCAUGUUACUGAAUAUCAAGUACAAAUCUACCCUACAGAGGGGUCAAGCACUGUGCUCUCUGCCUUCUCAACUCUGUAGAUGUAAAUUAGUGCUUUUUAAAAGGGAAACUCAACAGGAUAAAGUUGUUAUUGGCUCUUUACAAUGAGAGUGUUGCUAUAAGAGCAGGUUUCAAUUGUGAGGAGUCAAUAAUAAUAGGAGGACGUUUAGUUGGUUAAACUCGCUCCUUUGUAUCAAUACCGCCCUCCUGCGUUGUUGAGUUGUUCGCGGUUCAGUGUUGUAGCUGGCUAAACGUUGUUUAUGAGAGGUGGUCGGUCGUGUACCCAUGUCAGAAAACACAAGAUCAGAUCCAGGAGGGGACAAGUGAGGAAGGAAGCAACAUUUUUGAGAAACACAAUUACACGUGUGAUGAUUGAUUACAAUUUCACUGGAAGUACAUUUACAUCUCAAAUGAAGCCAUUCUUUUCAACCUCAGAAGACUAACUCCACUGUUACAUGGAAUGAGGUAAAUUGAUAUUGGCAUGAGUAUAUCAUUUGUUUGACGAACUUCAUGAAACCUUUCUAGUUAGUUAGAUGUCCACUGUCGAGUAGAUAUAAUAAUAAUAAUACUGUAGAUAUAAUUGCAUGAUAUAUUACUAAUUUCACAGUAGAUUGUACCUCACAUAUGUAAGGCUUUAGGGUACCUGUUGAAACUCCUGACUUCUGUGUAAUCUCCUGUUCUUAUCUUUGCAGAUUACCCACUCUGUAUUUGAGGAACAUUUUGAGAUUUUCAUCUUGUCAACUGUUAGAAAUAUUAAUCUAUCAAGCAUUGCACAGUCAGUCGGUGAACAAGUUAAGAACCACUUCAAUCAUCUCAGCUAAACUGCUUCAAUAACCAUUACAAUCCACACUCUACAUUUCUGUUUAUGAGUAUCAGCUUAUGACACCAAUUGAGUUGUACACAUUUCACUAACCAGUCUUUCUACUCUGCAUUUCUACAGCCUAAAGUCUGCAUCCAAGAACAAUUUCAAGAAGUAAACAAUGUCCACAGAAACAAUCGCCUACAUUUUGCUACUCUUCAAGAGGAUAGGCAUUUUACUUUUUCACCAGACCUUUUCUGGCCAAACUAUUCCAUAAACCGCGCAACAUGGACAUUUUCGAACGUAAUUCUCAGUACGGGGGCAAAGUGACUGAGACUGAUAUCUCAACAGCUUUCUCAUCUUACUGAAUGACUAGCAGUUUACUAACAGUUGAAAGUUAGCUUGCGUGGGUGAAUUUACUUGGUUAUUUUCAACAAAUUAAUUUAAGUCGUUCAGAAGAGAUCUCAUUUGGACGACUUACAGAUAUGUUUUUUUUUUCAUUUUUCAAACUCAGAGGAGUCGCUGACAUGAACAUGAAGACAAGAAAAUAUAUCAAUGUGAGUUUUUCAUAUUUUUUUCUCUGAAACAUAACUUAUUAGUUAGAUCAUUUCUAUCAACCAGAUGUCUACAGUACACUGGUAGGCCUAGAAAGUAUAUUACAAUUGCAACAUACAUACUGUAAAUCUGGCUAUUUGUUUUACAGUACAAUACACCUCAUGUAUGUUGGUAUUGAUAAUAAUAUCAGAUUUUAUUUUAAUUCUGACACACUUCCUUCCAUCCCUCCAGAACACAUCAAAAGUAUCUACAUUCGACAAGACUAAAGGAUACAUCAGACCAUGCUAAGUUACACAUUAGAUUUACUUAUAUUUACUUAAACUAAUUCAGAAGCAUGUAAAUCACUAGUCUUUUAAUGUUUCCUUUCUACAGCCGUCAGACUGCAUCCAAGAACAAUUUAAAAAAGGAAAUAUUGUCAACAGAAACAGUUUCGUACAUUUUGCAACUCUACAAGAGGAUCUGCAUUCUACAUCCGUAUUAAUCCGCGACAAAUUUUAAAUGUGAUUCUCAGAAAACAUGAUGAAGUGGUUGAGAUUGCGAUGCCUCGACAGCUACAUCAUGUUACUGAAUAUCAAGUACAAAUCUACCCUACAGAGGGGUCAAGCACUGUGCUCUCUGCCUUCUCAACUCUGUAGAUGUAAAUUAGUGCUUUUUAAAGGGACACUCAACAGGAUGUAGUCAUAAUGAACCAAGGAGCUUCUUCCUGUGUAAUAAAGUCUUCAUUUACCAGACACUUUAAAUCAAAAACACACAGGGGAGGGGGGAUUUGAACCUGCAACCUCUCAAACUGCAAUCAAAUCCUCUCCGACUGAGCGAUACUCAUCCUGACAGAAGCAUCAACAUAUUACAACCCUGCCCUCUUUAUUGGGUCUUUACAAUGAGAGUGUUGCCAUAACAGCAGGUUUCAAUUGUUAGGAGUCAAUAAUCAAAGUCUAGGUGGGCUUGCAUUAUGUUUAUCCUCUUGUCUGCGAGUGGGCUGUCUGGUGCAAACGAGUUGGUUAAACUCACUCCUCGUUGUCAAUAGCCCAACCUCCGGGCUGCGAUAUUAAGUUGUCUGCAUUUUCGCGGCGUAGCCAAGAUCGAACCCGGGAGAUGACAAGCACAGGAGGAAAUAAUACUGACGGGAAACGGAAUUUCAACAGAAGACAGAAACUUAUGUUGUUACCUUCUGACAUGUGACCAUGUCAGAAGGUAAUAAUCAGUCAUGUGACCAUGUCAGAAGACCCAAGAUCCAAUCCAGGAGUGGAAGUGAAAGUGAGGAACACAUUUGCGAUGCAUUAUGAUUCUGUAUUAUAUGGCAACGACAGUACGAGCGCUCUGAUUGGCUAAUGGGUAGUCAUUAUGAUUCUGCAUUUCAGGUUGCACUGGACAUCCUUGAAUCUCAAAUGAAGUAAUGUCUUCAACUUCACUGAAGUCUCAGACUCCACAGCAGGAACGUGGAAUGAGGUAAAGAUAGUUAGCUAAAUGUCCACUGACCAGAUAUGUAGAGAUGUCUGUAAAGCUUUACAAUAAUGGUAAACGCCGAUCUGCUGUCUUGUUUAAUCUCCUUUCCUUUCCGUCUCUACAGACUACCAGGCUGUAUUUGAAAAGGAUUUGGGGAAGAUUACCCUGUCAACUGAAUCUACAAAUUCCACCAAUAUGCACCACACUCUAUAUUUCUCUUCAAAAGUAUCAGCAUUUGACUAGACAACGGAAUAUAAAGUGUCAGAAUAUUAUAUAUUUAACUAACUAAUGCAAAAGCAUGUUCAUCACAAGUCUCUCUAUUCUUAUGUUCUACUGUCCACAGACUGCAUAAAAGAACGAUACAAAAGAGAAUGUCAUCAGCCAAUCAGUCAACAGUCAUCACAUGAUGUCAUCAGAAACAGUCACAUCAGUUUUGCUACUCAGCAAGAACAUAAGAAUUUGACUUUUUCGCGUGCUAUUUUUUUAUAGUUUUCUUCAGAAGCGCACAAACCUCGAACAUUUCUAAAGCAAUUCUCAGUAACAUGGUAAAGUGUCUGAGAGUCUGAUACCUCGACAGCUAUAUCAUCUUACUGAAUAACAAAUACAAAUCUGUAAAUGGAACAUACUAUAUUUGUGUUUUUUAAGGGUCAAUUCUAAAUCCAAGUCAGACCAUCAAACAACUUACCCACAAUUGUUUACUGCCAUAAGAUCUGCCACCAGCAUGAAAGGAUAUGUCAACACGCUCACUGCGAUCUUGAGUAAAGAGAAGG